rnacentral:lncRNA from 1 species
AUCCUCCCGCGUCCUCCCGGGCUCGCGCCGCUGUCACUGGAGCCCGCAUCCUCCGCCUCCCGCCGCCGCCGCGACCCCGCACCGGGAAUCAAGCCGGCGCGGAAAACCGCAAGCUUGACUCCACGCCCACCUGACUGGACUGAGAAAACCGAAGAAGUUGGUGAGGGUACAGCAAUAAAUAGCAGGAGGAGCAGAAUUUGAAACAGCAGCAUGCCGGUCCUGCGCCUGGUGAAGGAUGACUCGCCAGAAAGCAAAGGCGCAGACCUACCUCCGCGAGCUUGGCGCGUGGCCCAGGAGGCUCCGCGAGCCCUUGUACGUAAGGAUCGUGGCGCCCACGCUUGAGAGCAGAGCUCAGUGCAAACUUCCAACAGUUCUUCCAGUUUCCAGGGAAACGAGAUUUGGAGCUGCUGCGCGUUGCAGAGCUGCCUCUCUGCUCCCCACAUGGGACCCCUGUGGCUGGCUGGUCUUGAGGAGGAAGGAAUUGAAGCCACCUCAUCCUUGAAGGAGAAUCAGAGAGAUGAUUGAUUCUCCAUGCCUGGCCUCUUUUGUUCCACGUAUGUUUGUGAAGUGUGUCCAUGACGCUGUACACAGCGAUAGCUCACUCAUUGCUGAUAAUGAAGCCCAGCAGCUUACCCAUUUCACUGCAGUAAACAACAUAUUGCUUCUUGUUUGUGUGUCCUGAAUCACGGAGACAUGCAGUUGAGUAACCUGGGGGUGAAAUCGCCCUGUCUGAUUAAUACCAUCUUUGUUUUUAUUUGCCUGUUUCCCGUUGAGGUGAAAUUUAUGUACAAUAAGAACCAUUGAUUUUUUAGCUGUACACUUCCAUGAGUUUGGACAGUUGUCUACAUUUAUACAAACGACCACCUCUGGACUCACUGCUGUUCCAGCUUCUGCAAAUGCUAAGCUCAGCGUUUCCCCACACCAGGUCCGUGUGCUAAAGGUUUUAUUACAGUAUUUCCUAUGCAUGGUUGCAUGCAGUGGACAAUCUUGUCUGCCUGGUUUCAGUGCCUUUCAGACUUGUCCAAACUCUUGCAAGAAUCGAUUGAAUGUACUUAUUGCUGAAUAGAAUUCUAGUAAAAAGUGUUUCUCCAUUCACGACA